rnacentral:rRNA from 1 species
CGCCGCGUGAGGGAUGACGGCCUUCGGGUUGUAAACCUCUUUCAGCACAGACGAAGCGAAAGUGACGGUAUGUGCAGAAGAAGGACCGGCCAACUACGUGCCAGCAGCCGCGGUAAUACGUAGGGUCCGAGCGUUGUCCGGAAUUAUUGGGCGUAAAGGGCUCGUAGGCGGUUUGUCACGUCGGGAGUGAAAACCAGGUGCUUAACACCUGGCCUGCUUCCGAUACGGGCUGACUAGAGGUAUUCAGGGGAGAAUGGAAUUCCUGGUGUAGCGGUGAAAUGCGCAGAUAUCAGGAGGAACACCGGUGGCGAAGGCGGUUCUCUGGGAAUGACCUGACGCUGAGGAGCGAAAGUGUGGGGAGCGAACAGGAUUAGAUACCCUGGUAGUCCAAGGG